AUUAUCUAACCGAUAUUAGAUAAUGAUCAUUUAUUAUGAAUAACUUCAAAGAAUUUGGAACUUUUCCAAAGUCACUAAGACCCAAAUCGAGUCAAAUGAGAUCAAAAAUAUUUGAUCUAAAUAAAAGACAUGGACACAUAUGAAAGAAAUUCAUUUCAUUAAUCAUAAAAAUAAUUACAAAAGCCCACAUUGGACCAAUACAAGAGUUGAUAAAAAGAAAAGAUACGAUAACUUAGGCAUUAGCCUGAGGAUCGUUUGCUGAAGGAGCUA
rnacentral:lncRNA from 1 species